UACGGAGGGAGCUAGCGUUGUUCGGAAUUACUGGGCGUAAAGCGCGCGUAGGCGGCUUUGUAAGUUAGAGGUGAAAGCCCGGGGCUCAACUCCGGAAUUGCCUUUAAGACUGCAUCGCUAGAAUCCGGGAGAGGUGAGUGGAGUUCCGAGUGUAGAGGUGAAAUUCGUAGAUAUUCGGAAGAACACCAGUGGCGAAGGCGGCUCACUGGACCGGAACUGACGCUGAGGCGCGAAAGCGUGGGGAGCAAACAGG
rnacentral:rRNA from 1 species